ACGGCCACAUCACGUUGAAACACCGGUUCCUUUCCGAUCACUGUAGUUAAACAAUGUCGAGUCUAGUCAGUAUCUAGAUGGGUGACCGCUUGGGAAUACCAGGUGUUGUAU